rnacentral:rRNA from 1 species
GCAAGUCGAACGAGAAAGGGACUGCUUGCAGUCCUGAGUAGAGUGGCGCACGGGUGAGUAACACGUAGAUAAUCUACCUUCAAGCCUGGAAUAACUAUUCGAAAGAGUGGCUAAUACCGGAUAAAGUUAAUCAGCAUAAGUUGAUUAAUGAAAGAUUGCCUCUUCUUGAAAGCAAUUGUUUGGAGAUGAGUCUGCGGACCAUUAGUUUGUUGGUGGGGUAAAGGCCUACCAAGACUACGAUGGUUAGCUGGUCUGAGAGGAUGAUC